CAAACCGUCUCUUCAGGGCUCAGAGAGCUAUCCUCAGAAAGAGCAAAGCCCAGGACUGGAUGAGUUCACGGCUAUGUUCUACCAGACUUCCCAAGAAGAGCCAACGCCUGAGCCUCCCAAGCCACCAAGCUGUCUCGUAAAGUAGAAAGGGAAGAAAAAGAAAUACUGCUAAACUCAAUUUACAAAGCAGCAUUCCUCCAGUACCAAGCAAGGGGGAGAUUACAAGGGCAGAGGCUGAAAAUGAAGAGAUGGGAAGAUGUGUGGAAUUGGGGGACAUGAUGUAAAAUUCACAAAGAAUCAAUAAAACAUUUUUUUUUUAUCAGAAAAGAACAACAAAUACUGUCAAGGAUUUGGGAGGAAAAACAUAUCAAUAUACUAUUGGUGGGAAUACAAGUCAUUUCAGACACUGUAGAAAUCAAUAUGGAAUUUCUUCACAGAAGAAAAAUAAAACAACCAUGUGAUGUAGUUAUAG